GGGUUGUGAGGUUAAGCGACUAAGCGUACACGGUGGAUGCCCUGGCAGUCAGAGGCGAUGAAGGACGUGCUAAUCUGCGAAAAGCGUCGGUAAGGUGAUAUGAACCGUUAUAACCGGCGAUGUCCGAAUGGGGAAACCCAGUGCAAUUCGUUGCACUAUCGUUAACUGAAUACAUAGGUUAACGAGGCGAACCGGGGGAACUGAAACAUCUAAGUACCCCGAGGAAAAGAAAUCAACCGAGAUUCCCCCAGUAGCGGCGAGCGAACGGGGAGCAGCCCAGAGUCUGAAUCAGCUUGUGUGUUAGUGGAACGGUCUGGAAAGUCCGACGGUACAGGGUGAUAGUCCCGUACACCAAAAUGCACAGGCUGUGAACUCGAAGAGUAGGGCGGGACACGUGGUAUCCUGUCUGAAUAUGGGGGGACCAUCCUCCAAGGCUAAAUACUCCUGACUGACCGAUAGUGAACCAGUACCGUGAGGGAAAGGCGAAAAGAACCCCGGCGAGGGGAGUGAAAAAGAACCUGAAACCGUGUACGUACAAGCAGUGGGAGCACCUUCGGGUGUGACUGCGUACCUUUUGUAUAAUGGGUCAGCGACUUAUAUUCUGUAGCAAGGUUAACCGUAUAGGGGAGCCGCAGGGAAACCGAGUCUUAACUGGGCGUUAAGUUGCAGGGUAUAGACCCGAAACCCGGUGAUCUAGCCAUGGGCAGGUUGAAGGUUGGGUAACACUAACUGGAGGACCGAACCGACUAAUGUUGAAAAAUUAGCGGAUGACUUGUGGCUGGGGGUGAAAGGCCAAUCAAACCGGGAGAUAGCUGGUUCUCCCCGAAAGCUAUUUAGGUAGCGCCUCGUGAACUCAUCUUCGGGGGUAGAGCACUGUUUCGGCUAGGGGGUCAUCCCGACUUACCAACCCGAUGCAAACUACGAAUACCGAAGAAUGUUAUCACGGGAGACACACGGCGGGUGCUAACGUCCGUCGUGAAGAGGGAAACAACCCAGACCGCCAGCUAAGGUCCCAAAGUCAUGGUUAAGUGGGAAACGAUGUGGGAAGGCACAGACAGCCAGGAUGUUGGCUUAGAAGCAGCCAUCAUUUAAAGAAAGCGUAAUAGCUCACUGGUCGAGUCGGCCUGCGCGGAAGAUGUAACGGGGCUAAACCAUGCACCGAAGCUGCGGCAGCGACACUAUGUGUUGUUGGGUAGGGGAGCGUUCUGUAAGCCUGCGAAGGUGUGCUGUGAGGCAUGCUGGAGGUAUCAGAAGUGCGAAUGCUGACAUAAGUAACGAUAAAGCGGGUGAAAAGCCCGCUCGCCGGAAGACCAAGGGUUCCUGUCCAACGUUAAUCGGGGCAGGGUGAGUCGACCCCUAAGGCGAGGCCGAAAGGCGUAGUCGAUGGGAAACAGGUUAAUAUUCCUGUACUUGGUGUUACUGCGAAGGGGGGACGGAGAAGGCUAUGUUAGCCGGGCGACGGUUGUCCCGGUUUAAGCAUGUAGGCUGGUUGUCCAGGCAAAUCCGGAUAAUCAAGGCUGAGGUGUGAUGACGAGGCACUACGGUGCUGAAGUAACAAAUGCCCUGCUUCCAGGAAAAGCCUCUAAGCAUCAGGUAACAUUAAAUCGUACCCCAAACCGACACAGGUGGUCAGGUAGAGAAUACCAAGGCGCUUGAGAGAACUCGGGUGAAGGAACUAGGCAAAAUGGUGCCGUAACUUCGGGAGAAGGCACGCUGGUGUGUAGGUGAAGCCCCUGCGGGUGGAGCUGAGACCAGUCGAAGAUACCAGCUGGCUGCAACUGUUUAUUAAAAACACAGCACUGUGCAAACACGAAAGUGGACGUAUACGGUGUGACGCCUGCCCGGUGCCGGAAGGUUAAUUGAUGGGGUUAUCCGUAAGGAGAAGCUCUUGAUCGAAGCCCCGGUAAACGGCGGCCGUAACUAUAACGGUCCUAAGGUAGCGAAAUUCCUUGUCGGGUAAGUUCCGACCUGCACGAAUGGCGUAAUGAUGGCCAGGCUGUCUCCACCCGAGACUCAGUGAAAUUGAACUCGCUGUGAAGAUGCAGUGUACCCGCGGCAAGACGGAAAGACCCCGUGAACCUUUACUAUAGCUUGACACUGAACAUUGAGCCUUGAUGUGUAGGAUAGGUGGGAGGCUUUGAAGCGUGGACGCCAGUCUGCGUGGAGCCAACCUUGAAAUACCACCCUUUAAUGUUUGAUGUUCUAACGUUGGCCCCUGACCGGGGUUGCGGACAGUGUCUGGUGGGUAGUUUGACUGGGGCGGUCUCCUCCCAAAGCGUAACGGAGGAGCACGAAGGUUAGCUAAUCCUGGUCGGACAUCAGGAGGUUAGUGCAAUGGCAUAAGCUAGCUUGACUGCGAGCGUGACGGCGCGAGCAGGUGCGAAAGCAGGUCAUAGUGAUCCGGUGGUUCUGAAUGGAAGGGCCAUCGCUCAACGGAUAAAAGGUACUCCGGGGAUAACAGGCUGAUACCGCCCAAGAGUUCAUAUCGACGGCGGUGUUUGGCACCUCGAUGUCGGCUCAUCACAUCCUGGGGCUGAAGUAGGUCCCAAGGGUAUGGCUGUUCGCCAUUUAAAGUGGUACGCGAGCUGGGUUUAGAACGUCGUGAGACAGUUCGGUCCCUAUCUGCCGUGGGCGCUGGAGAAUUGAGGGGGGCUGCUCCUAGUACGAGAGGACCGGAGUGGACGCAUCACUGGUGUUCGGGUUGUCAUGCCAAUGGCACUGCCCGGUAGCUAAAUGCGGAAGAGAUAAGUGCUGAAAGCAUCUAAGCACGAAACUUGCCCCGAGAUGAGUUCUCCCUGAGACUUUAAGUCUCCUGAAGGAACGUUGAAGACGACGACGUUGAUAGGCCGGGUGUGUAAGCGCAGCGAUGCGUUGAGCUAACCGGUACUAAUGAACCGUGAGGCUUAACCUUACAACGCCGAAG
rnacentral:rRNA from 1 species